rnacentral:tRNA from 1 species
GCCCCUGUAGCUCAAUGGAAAGAGUAACGGCCUUCUAAGCCGGCGGUUGCGCGUUCGACCCGCGCCAGGGGCG